AGAGUUUGAUCCUGGCUCAGAAUGAACGCUGGCGGCGUGCUUAACACAUGCAAGUCGAACGAGAAAGGGAUUGCUUGCAAUCCCGAGUAGAGUGGCGCACGGGUGAGUAACACGUAGAUAAUCUGCCUUCAAGCCUGGGAUGACUAUUCGAAAGGGUAGCUAAUACCGGAUAAAGUCGAUCUACACAAGUAGAUUGAUGAAAGAUUGCCUCUUCUUGAAAGCAAUUGUUUGGAGAUGAGUUUGCGUACCAUUAGCUUGUUGGUGGGGUAAAGGCCUACCAAGGCAACGAUGGUUAGCUGGUCUGAGAGGAUGAUCAGCCACACUGGAACUGGAACACGGUCCAGACUCCUACGGGAGGCAGCAGUGAGGAAUUUUGCGCAAUGGGGGCAACCCUGACGCAGCAACGCCGCGUGAGUGAAGAAGGCCUUUGGGUCGUAAAGCUCUGUCAACAGGGAAGAAGUUACAAUUGUUUAAUAGAUGGUUGUAUUGACGGUACCUGUGGAGGAAGCGCCGGCUAACUCCGUGCCAGCAGCCGCGGUAAUACGGGGGGCGCAAGCGUUAUUCGGAAUUAUUGGGCGUAAAGGGCGCGCAGGCGGUCUUGUCCGUCAGGUGUGAAAGCUCGGGGCUCAACCCCGGAAGUGCACUUGAAACAGCAAGACUUGAAUACGGGAGAGGAAAGCGGAAUUCCUGGUGUAGAGGUGAAAUUCGUAGAUAUCAGGAGGAACACCGAUGGCGAAGGCAGCUUUCUGGACCGAUAUUGACGCUGAGGCGCGAAAGCGUGGGUAGCAAACGGGAUUAGAUACCCUGGUAGUCG
rnacentral:rRNA from 1 species